UUUCACUUCAUAAUUUUGAGGCCGAGAAAACAACAGCCCCCAAAUGAAUGGUAACUUUUAACACUACAAGUGCAAAACAAUUGAUCUUCAUUUAUGGAGAAUGUUCCCUACACCGGUGUAAACACAUAUCCAUUAAAAAAAAAGAUGAAGUAGGCAUCUAGGCAUUGUGGUGGGCUGAUGAUACAAAGACAAAAAGAGAAAGAAAAAAGCAGGGAACAGACCCUGUCUCUGGGGCACAACAUGUAAACAAAUAAAUGCCCCCAUAGCAACCUGCA
rnacentral:lncRNA from 1 species